rnacentral:lncRNA from 1 species
ACACCGAAAUACUACACACAUGUUUAGAUGAAAUGCAACUUAGUGAGAAUAGUGAAUAACAAUUUAACUUGUAAAUCUCUUGCACUUUAGUAGGAAUUUUUGUACUUUUCCAAAAUAUCUUUUUUUGGUUAAUUUAGAGCUUGUGACCCAAAUAAAAGUAAAUUCGUGUUUAGUGUGACUGGAUAAUUAAUUGAGAAAAUAAUGUCAUUACGCAAUUCGUCAU